AUAUUCUGCUUUUUCUUCAGAUCAUAUAAAUUUUCCCCCUUUUACUAAGGAUUUAUGUGGGAAGGAACAUCUAUGAAUUUCCAACUAGCAUUUUGAAGCCCUGCUUCGGUAGUGCC